rnacentral:rRNA from 1 species
UACGUAGGGGGCGAGCGUUGUCCGGAGUUACUGGGCGUAAAGCGCACGCAGGCGGUCUGCUAAGUUUGGAGUGACAGUUGGUGGCUUAACUGCCAAAGUGCUUCGAAAACUGACAGACUUGAGGGCUUCAGAGGGACACGGAAUUCCGGGUGGAGUGGUGGAAUGCGUAGAUAUCGGGAGGAACACCAGUGGCGAAGGCGGUUGCCUGGAGCUUUGCUGACGCUGAUGCGCGAAAGCGUGGGGAGCGAUCCGG